CUCAGCCCAAACAUGCUGCCAACAGCAUCUACAACGGAGCAGAAAUCCUAAAAGCCCAUACCGAUACAUGAAAUCACAUCAUUUCAUGUGAUUUCUAGGCUUUUCUGGACCGUGCACGCAAACCAGAGGUCGAUUAAUCCGACCGUCGCACUCGCUGACAGGUUUCAGCAUGUCGGAGGCCGUGCUCACCUUUCGGAGCACUGCCGGCCACUGCGGUGCGCGCACGAGCGACGCGAAGUUCUGUUAAACUGCGUGCACAGUGCGAAGAUCAAGACUAACUCGCUAACCAGGGCAUCUUUGCCGCUGUCGAAGGUGAGUACGAUGUUAAGCACGAACCCUAGAUCAUCGUGCUCACUUCCCGGGGUGUCGGGGAGUCAUCGGAUCACCAAAAAGGUGGCCGGAAAGCUAAGCUACUGUGCUGGAAUCUAAAAACAGCCUUACCGGACCCGAGGAGAGCUAGGGUUCGUCUCCGGCGGCCG
rnacentral:lncRNA from 1 species